UUGGAGGGCAAGUCUGGUGCCAGCAGCCGCGGUAAUUCCAGCUCCAAUAGCGUAUAUUAAAGUUGUUGCAGUUAAAAAGCUCGUAGUUGAAUUUCGGGGUUAGUAGGUUGGUCAUGCCUCUGGUAUGUACUGGUCUCACUGAUUCCUCCUUCCUGAUGAGCCGUAAUGCCAUUAAUUUGGUGUUGCGGGGAAUUUGGACUGUUACUUUGAAAAAAUUAGAGUGUUUAAAGCAAGCUAACGCUUGAAUACAUUAGCAUGGAAUAAUGAAAUAGGACGUUCGAUCCUAUUUUGUUGGUUUCUAGGAUUGACGUAAUGAUUAAUAGGGAUAGUUGGGGGCAUUAGUAUUCAAUUGUCAGAGGUGAAAUUCUUGGAUUUAUUGAAGACUAACUACUGCGAAAGCAUUUGCCAAGGAUGUUUUCAUUAAUCAAGAACGAAAGUUAGGGGAUCGAAGACGAUCAGAUACCGUCGUAGUCUUAACCAUAAACUAUGCCGACUAGGGAUCGGAUGAUGUUAUUUUUUUAAUGACUCAUUCGGCGCCUUACGGGAAAC
rnacentral:rRNA from 1 species